rnacentral:rRNA from 2 species
UUAAAUUGAAGAGUUUGAUCAUGGCUCAGAUUGAACGCUGGCGGCAGGCCUAACACAUGCAAGUCGAGCGGCAGCGGGAAAGUAGCUUGCUACUUUUGCCGGCGAGCGGCGGACGGGUGAGU